rnacentral:rRNA from 1 species
AUCAUGCAAGUCGAGCGGACCGAACGGAAGCUUGCUUCUGUUCGGUUAGCGGCGGACGGGUGAGUAACACGUGGGUAACCUGCCCGUAAGACCGGGAUAACUCCGGGAAACCGGGGCUAAUACCGGAUAACACCGAAGACCGCAUGGUCUUUGGUUGAAAGGUGGCUUUUGCUACCACUUACGGAUGGGCCCGCGGCGCAUUAGCUAGUUGGUGAGGUAACGGCUCACCAAGGCGACGAUGCGUAGCCGGCCUGAGAGGGUGACCGGCCACACUGGGACUGAGACACGGCCCAGACUCCUACGGGAGGCAGCAGUAGGGAAUCUUCCGCAAUGGACGAAAGUCUGACGGAGCGACGCCGCGUGAGCGAAGAAGGUCUUCGGAUCGUAAAGCUCUGUUGUUAGGGAAGAAGAAGUACCGUUCGAAUAGGGCGGUACGGUGACGGUACCUAACGAGAAAGCCCCGGCUAACUACGUGCCAGCAGCCGCGGUAAUACGUAGGGGGCGAGCGUUGUCCGGAAUUAUUGGGCGUAAAGCGCGCGCAGGCGGUCCCUUAAGUCUGAUGUGAAAGCCCACGGCUCAACCGUGGAGGGUCAUUGGAAACUGGGGGACUUGAGUGCAGAAGAGGAGAGCGGAAUUCCACGUGUAGCGGUGAAAUGCGUAGAGAUGUGGAGGAACACCAGUGGCGAAGGCGGCUCUCUGGUCUGUAACUGACGCUGAGGCGCGAAAGCGUGGGGGAGCAAACAGGAUUAGAUACCCUGGUAGUCCACGCCGUAAACGAUGAGUGCUAAGUGUUAGAGGGGUUUUCCCUUUAGUGCUGUAGCUAACGCGUUAAGCACUCCGCCUGGGGAGUACGGCGCAUGCUGAACUCAAGA